rnacentral:rRNA from 1 species
UGGGGGAUAUUGCACAAUGGGGGGAACCCUGAUGCAGCGACGCCGCGUGGGGUGAAGAAGCGCCUCGGCGCGUAAAGCCCUGUCAGCAGGGAAGAAAAUGACGGUACCUGAAGAAGAAGCCCCGGCUAACUACGUGCC